ensembl:lncRNA
UGAGCGGCUGCCCGUCCCUCCCCCCUUCGGGCCGGCGGGGAAGUUGCAACUGGUUGAGCAGCUCCGAAUGUGCGUGCUUAGGCUUUGGAUACUUGAUUUUUUCUUUCUUUUUUUUUUUUUUCCUUUUCUUCUAUUUAUUUUUUAUUUAUUAAUUUUUACUUACCGCAGCCUAAAAAAGCAUGCCUUGGGGCUUCUCCUCCCUACCACAGCCGGGCCGCCCCAGCACAAGCGCAGCCAAUCCCGGCGGGUUGCGAGACGGAGGGAGGAGGAGGAGGGCGAGGGGCAGCCACGCGGGGCCGCGGGCGCGGCAGGUGGGGGAUGGCCCGGGGGGCGGAGGACAGCCGACACCGCCCAGAAGCCGCGCAGCUCCGGCCCCGAGCCGGAGCGUGGCUCGAGCAUCGCUGUAAGAGCCCGCGGCCGCCCCCUCCCGAGCUCUUAGCCGUCCCCUAAAGUUUAUUUUUAGCCCCCGGAAAGCGCUAUAAAGGUCCCGCGGAGCGAGCGGGCCGGGAGACGUGGCACCGCGCUGCCUGCAGGACGGUGAGGCCCUGGCACAGCUGCCCAGAGAAGCUGUGGUGCCCCAUCCCUGGAGGCGCUCAAAGCCAGCCACUUCUCUGAACUGUUACCUUCAAAAUGAAGAGCAAGACAGAGGUGAGAACAAAGAAAGCCUUGGAAAAAUCCGGUCAUAACAUCUGAGGAAUAGAAAUAAAGGAAAUACUUAUACAGUCAGAGUUUGGAUGGAAUUUAUGAAAAGUUACAAAGGGCCCUAUUACAUUUGUAUCUAGAUUUGGGAAUUUUAAUUUUACACAUAAUAAAGAUACCAGUGCAUCUUUUCCUCUACUUUGGAUGAUAAUGCAUUCUGCUGUCCUUAGCCUUGCAAAACUUUCUUAUACCAACUAAUGUACGUUCAGCUUAAUUCUUUAGUUGUUAGACCUAAGACACCUUCUCACAUCAAGCUAGAGCAUGAAUAAUAAUAAACCAUUAAAAACCAUCCUCUCUGUUUGCUGGUCUAUAAAUAUAAAUAUUAGAUCCCUGAAUUUCUAUGUCCCCAGCAGAACAAGUGGGAUUUGAAUAAAAGGUAUAUGUAUAUGCGACCUUAUCACUGCCAAAUGCCAAAAGUACAUAAUAUAGAGCUUAUCUGGACUUCAGGCCUUCGGUGCUGUGUAGGUAGAGGUGAUUCUUGGCAUAACUCCUACCUUUGUAGAAUUAAAACAUCAUAAUUUUUAGAAGAGUUUUUAACCAAUUGUGUAGACAUCAUAAUUGGGCAGUAUUUCUGUGACACUGAUGUAGCACUAAGAGCCCUAAAUCAAAUUUUGUCCAUGAAAACAUACAAAACAGUCAGUGAGCACCAGGCAAUGGGGAGUACUAUGUGAAAAAGGACAGCAGCAAUGAAGUCUAAUCCCAGUGAUAUAUUCCUCUGUUGCCUACACACUCUGUUCUGUUGCCUGCUGAGAAAAACCAAUCUAGAUUGUGUUAUUUACAACUGAUCUUUUUAGGCUAGAACUGUUAAAACAGAAUGCCAAACAACUUGAAAGUUUCUGUAGAAAUACUGUUAGGCAGACAAAAGAGAAAAUAAAUUAAAGCUAAUGAUUAUUUAUCACUGAGAAACACACACACAAAAAAAAAGCCUUCUGAGUUUACUUUGCUGGUUUCAAGUACUAAAACGUCCACCUCAAAGUCUGUUCUUCUGUCUCAUUAGUCUUAAUUCAUGGCAGUGCAGAGCAAUAGAAGCGUAAGGAGGUGCUCAUUUCAUACUAGAUUUGAAAGGAAGCCCAACAAGCAGCUGUACAAAGUUGGUUUUUUUUUUGUUUGUUUGUUUGUUUGCUUUUUUGUUUUUUUGCAUCCUGGCACUUCUGGAUUUAGCAGCUGCUCUGCCUGUCUGCACUCGGGGUCAAACAUUUAAGAGUCAACUAAAUGUGAGGGAGGUUUCCCUACCAAGUGUCAUUCACAAGAGCAGAUGCUGCAGGCUGUGAAUUAGGGACAGGGAUAGUCUCACAUCAUCUACUGACUGCUAUUAAUAACCCUGUUUACAUCUGAUCCAUGCCCCAAAUCCUUCCCAUAUGGUACUCAAGUACCAAUUUCUUAUGUUUUCCAAAGGUCACCUAUCAUCAGCACCAAGAACAGACCACAGGUCCCCUGACACAGCACUACCACUGUGCAGAAUCUGUGUUGAGCUAAACUCUCUGCAGACAUGCCUUUAGCUUUUAUGCUGUGCUGUCGCAAAGCAGUGCUCAGAACAAAGGAAGCCCAUUUCCUAAGCAGUUGAAAACUUUGCUAGCAAAGUACAGUGCACUUGUUCAUUGCAGGCAGUCCAUUUAAAAAUGUACAGCUAUCUUCUAUGUUGUUCUUCCAUUUAAAUCUGCAUAAAUCAGCCUGCAUCGUAGCUUUGUCAGCUGGCUGAUAUUCAACAAUGAGAGGAAGUAGAAAGCGGCAGAAUUAAUAUCCACUGGCUGAAUGUAGUUCCAGUACCACCUAACACUAGAGUGUUUGACUAAUUGAUUGCCCUUAGCAUUCUGCUAACAACAGAUGUACGGUAUGAGUUAAAUUAGUAAAUUUGUAUUGCUCCUAUUGCUUUCCAUAGCCUGAAACAGUUGUAAUUAUUGAAAUUAUUUAAAUCAGAAACAUUGUAUUCAAAACGCUUUAAUUGAUUUUCUUUGUAUUUUUGUUAAUAAAAACUGCUCUAAUAAAAGUACCGCG